AACGCGAAGAACCUUACCCAGGCUCGAAAUGUAGGAGGCGGCUUCAGAAAUGGAGCUUCCCGAAAGGGCUGCUAUAUAGGUGCUGCAUGGCUGUCGUCAGCUCGUGCCGUGAGGUGUUGGGUUAAGUCCCGCAACGAGCGCAACCCUUAUCAUUAGUUGCCAACACGAAAGGUGGGGACUCUAAUGAGACUGCCUAGGUUAACUAGGAGGAAGGUGAGGAUGACGUCAAGUCCGCAUGGCCCUUAUGUCUGGGGCUACACACGUGCUACAAUGGUCGGUACAGAAGGGAGCAAAGUCGUAAGAUGGAGCAAAUCCGUAAAGCCGAUCUCAGUUCAGAUUGUGGUCUGCAACUCGACCACAUGAAGUCGGAAUUGCUAGUAAUGACGUGUCAGCAACAACGUCGUGAAUACGUUCCCGGGCCUUGUACACACCGCUCGUC
rnacentral:rRNA from 1 species